rnacentral:snRNA from 11 species
AGCUUUGCGCAGUGGCAGUAUCAUAGCCAAUGAGGUUUAUCCGAGGCGUGAUUAUUGCUAAUUGAAAGAGAGAAGACUCCAGACCUGUGGGGCUCACUGUCCUAAACUCUCAGCUUCUAAGUUCGGUGUACCAAAUUCAGU